AAACAUCCUCCUUGAGGGUAGCGGCCACCCUGUAUACAUCUCUUCAGAGCCCAGCGCUGCCUGUGCACAGUUUAUUUUAGUCUGAAAGAUCUGGAAAUAUAGAAAACAUCUCCAUCUUUCUGCUGUUGAGUUCCCAGUGCCCCUGCAAAAUGCCAGCCUGUGACUGUCAAUAUCUGUGACUCUAUCCCUCGACCCAUAAUUCCCAGCCUCCAUCCUAGCUUCUGGGAUAGAGUUCCAUGGAUAAUUCAGCAAUUGCAGGAAAAUUUGGGCCCCCAACAGUGAACAACAGAACUCAAAAGAUGCAAAUACGAGGAUAAUGGACCACUGGAGGCUGAUCCAACACAAAAUACACAUUACCCUGUGCUACGUUCAGGAAUAGGAGGGUUCCUGUCUAGUUGCAGAAAAAGGAUAAGAGGUCAUAUCAAAACAGCACAGUCAUCUGAAAAUGGAACUUAUGUCUACAAAAGUUACAGGAAACCACAUCAAGAAGACUUUGUUUUGGUGCCCCAAGAGGAUUAACCUACUAAAUCCUACUAGCAAGUUUCUGGAGAACUCUAUAAAUUGUAGCAAAUCAAUAACCUCUGAAGUGUAACCUCUACUUGGACUGCAGCCAUUGAGAAGAUGUUCUCUAUACCUUCAAGGACAGAGGUAUCUUGGUGUCAGGAGGCAAGUUACUCCUUCAAGCACUGAUGUCUAUGUUGCUUGUGAUUCUCUGUCCUACAGCUUUGAUUGUAUAAUAUAUGCUGGGUUAAUUUUAAGUGUGUGUGUGUGUGUGUGUGUGUGUGUGUGUGUGUGUGUCUUAAUGAUUUUUGUUCUUCUAUUCUCUUUGCAUUCCAAAAAAGCAGUGAUAUGUAAAAGCAAAUCGGUGUGACACAUGAAUCUUAUUUAUAAAGCACAAGGCCCUGCCCUCACCUUGGUGAACCAGAAAAGAAUUUUCAUCUUGAAGGUGUGUCAGGUCCUAAGAAUUCCAUAAGUAUGAGUUGUUCUGGACUAAGGCAAUAAUGUAGAUAUUGAAGCGCUCAAUAUGGUUUCUUGACAUGAAUUAAAGAUAUUAACGUGCAUGAGCUUUGUGAUGGCUAAAAAUGAUUUGCCCUUACAUCUGAGUUUGUGAUUAGGGAUGGUAGAUGUUAGUAGAGACCUACUUCUAUAUAGAUUAUGUAAGUUUAUUUGAACCAGUUUACUGUCCUGACAUUAUGAAGUUCAUUCUCCAGCCAGUAAGUAAAAACAAAACAAAACAAAACAAAACACAUAAAAUUGAGGUCAAAACAAAUUUAUGGCCACUUAUUUCUUUCCUAAAUACAGUUUUUCCCUCUUAAGACAUAAAUAUUAACAAGUGUGGGAAGAAAUUCAAUGAUCAUUAAUAUUUUCAUUUGAUGGAAUCAAAGAUCCAUCCUGUAGAUAACAGUUUCACCACGAAUUUUGCAUUAGGCAUAGUACCAAGAGCUUUACUGAAUUAACUCAUUUAAUCCUCACAAUAUGAAUUUAAAGCAUGCAUGGAACAAAUGUGGACAAGUCUUUAGGAAAACUUCUCCCUUACUCUGUAUCAGAGGAGCCAAACUUGGAGAAACCUGUAAUUGUUGCCUCUGGCUAGGAAUCUAUCUCCUGAUUUCUACUUUCAAACCUCCCAUUCAUCAAAUACUGCCUCCCCCAUGAUUUUCCUACAACAUGCAAUUUAAUUUUCCUCAUUUAAAAUACAUCCCCAAAGCCAUCUCGUUUUGUUCUCCUCUGUCAUUGAUCCUAUUCUGUCAGACAGUGUGGUUCUCUGAGGAUGUGUGAUGUGCUCUUAGCAAGGACUUUGGAAUCACGAGACAUUGGUUUGAUGUUUCUGAGGCUCACUGAGUAAGUGGUACAAAAAGCAGCAUUACUUACCUCUGGGGUCUUAUGAGACCUAAUCAGAAAGCCUAGAGAUAAUACUUUGUUGACUGGGAACAUGGUUUAAAAAAAAAAAACGUAUUACUGAACACAUUGAAGCAAGUGCUGAGCUGAGUUCAUUUUUUGUGUGUUCUAGGAAACCUUAAAAGAUGCCUGGGAACUAGCCGUCUUGCUCAAUGUAUGUCAAAUAAAUAUUUUUAGGAUAGAACCAGAUACCUUCUUAAUAGAUAAACAGCUCUGAAACAUCUCAAGAGCUUGUUCCCCAAGACUCAGAGGCAGGAUAGGCAGAUCCUUAGCAGGUGCUGGGUUCUUUGAAGCAAAUGAGGCACCACAUUUUCCUUUGAUGGCUGGGAGGACACAAGACAGAGGGAGAUGCUUUCUUCAGCAAAGGAGAAAGUACUCUUUUUAAGAGGCUUCCUUAAUGUGGCAAAAUCCUUCAUCAUGAGGCCAGAAGACUCAAUGUCAGGCAUGUGAGAGGCAUGCUCUAUAUGGGGUAGAAGGACAACAUUUGGCCAAAUUUGAUUCUCAAAUGCAGGCAUGUUUGGUGCCUCUGCACCUCUGGAAGGAAGGCUGUGUUUGUGCAGUGAUGGACUAAUUUCCAUGGCAACAGAGUGUCUGGUGUCAGAAGAAUAGAAAUGAAAGCUCCAUGUGCCAACACUAUAUUUAUGUGAUGUUUAUCUCAUUGAUUCUUACAACGCAAAGAGGGCUUGAUCUCUCAGCAAGCGUGCUUUUGUCCAAAUGAUGCCAAUGCAGAAAUCAUGCCAUUUCUAUCAAUAUUUCACAUCUAAAGGUUGGGUGUACUAUUUUUGUCUUGUGAAGUUUUGAUAGUCUCAAUGGAGCCUUUAGGCUCCUUUCUACAGGUUUUGUUAGAGCUUCAUGGGGUGGCACCAGGAAUGGUGAAGGAGGCAGCUAGGGUCUGGGUUUUGGUUUCCUAAGAAUGCAGCAAUGUCACUGAGCAGCCACUUUCUGCAGGAUGAGGAGAGUGAAAAAAUGCACUCAAAGGACUGAAUGGACCCUUAACUCCUAAGGGCCAACCAGACAGAAUGUGAAUGAGCAGAGAGGCUGGUCUGAUCUAUUGUAAGCACUCUGCUCCCUCUUGCUACAAGUGUCUUCUUGAAAUUGAUACCCUCCCCUCCACCCCUAAGAAAAGCUCACCUCUCAGCCUUGAGUCCCAAUCUUUAAUGCCUUCCAAGACUUUUCUCUCUCUCUCUUUCUCUUUUUUUUUCUUUUUUCUACUAUGAUCUGUGCCCUGAAUACCUCAAACCAAAGACUUCACUCUUGGCUUCUUUCCUGACCCCAGGCUUCUCCACAAACCACAGAGUCCUAUAGUGUUGCUUCAUAGGCCCUUACCCUUUCUAACUCAUUCCUGUCUUCCCAAACCAUAGGCCUGACACAUCAUGGGAAACCCAACCACCCCUACCUUGUUCUUUACCCCAGAUACUGGGUGUCAAGCAGUCUUUCCAAAAGGAAGGUACUUUUUAUCCUGUUGGUUGGCAAGCUGCCCACAGAGAGAAUGUAGAUGAGCACUUUUAAAAGUGAAUGAGGUCGGGCGUGGUGGCUCAUGACUGUAAUCCCAGCACUAUGGGAGGCCGAGGCAGGCAGAUCAUGAGGUCAGGAGUUCGAGACCAGCCUGGCCAGCAUGGUGAAACCCUAUCUCUACUAAAAAUACAAAAAAAUUAGCCAGGCAUGGUGCCAUGUGCCUGUAGUCCCCACUACUCAGUAGGCUGAGGCAGGAGAAUUGCUUGAACCUGGCAGGUGGAGUUUGCAGUGAGUCGAGAUCGCAACACUGCACUCCAGCCUGGGCAACAGAGCGAGACUCUCUCAAAAAAAAGUAAAUAAGUAGAGAUUAAAAUGUCCCCAAGUUACUGCAGUAAUGGUUGUGCAUAUCUGUGAACAAAUAAAACCCAUUCAAUUGUACACUUUAAGUGGGUGAAUUGAAUAUAUGGGAUGUGAAUUACAUCUCAAUAAAGCAAUUUUACAAUAGAUCUUAUGUAUGACAUGGUGACUAUAGCUAAUAACAAUGUAUUGCAUAUUUAAAAUUUGCUAAGGGACUGCAAAAAAUUAUAAGUAUGUGAGGUAAUGCAUGCUGUAUCUAGAUUGAUUUAGCCAUUCCACAGUGUAUAUAUAUUUUAAAACAUUAUGUGUAGACCAUAAAUAUAUGUACUUUCAACAAAGCUAAAUUAAAAAUAAAGCUUUUUUAAAAAAGUAGGUAGACAAAUACAGCCAUCACAUAAAACUCAUGCAAUAAAAAUUUUAAAAUGAAUGUAUUUGGAGAAAAUCUGAGUGGAUUUAGAGAAGAAUGCUGUAUACACCAUAGUAUGGUGUAAGUGGUUUGGUGGUAUGUUGUAGUAUAUAAUAUGUGGAUGUGGUAUGUGAAUGUGUUCAUGGAAGUUUAUAAAAAGUUGGUAUGAUGGAAAAAGCUUUGGUAUUUCUCCUGACAAAUCACUUCUGAGCUCCUUCUUGCUGUUUGCUGCUACUGCUUGAAUGUUCAAUAAACAUUUUGGAUCACUUUAUAUCUUUAUAUGAGCCAGGCACUCUUCAAAGCAGCAAGGACACAUCAGUGAGCAAGAUGGGCAGAGUCCCCGCUCUCAAGAAGUCCAUAUUCUACGUCGGGAGGCAGACAGAAGCCAAAUCAACAAAUGAAUAAACGGUGAUUUGGAUGGCGAUAAAUGCCAAGAAGAAAAUUAAACAGAGUGAUGGGAUUGCAAGAGGUUGAUGGUCAAAGAUAGCCUUUCUGAAGGAGCUAGCCAUAGUAAAGGGAAGAAAUUGCCUUGCAGGCAGGGACACUAACUGCAGGAAAGUCCCAAAGGAGGGAAUGAGAUACAAGAAUUUGGGGAGCAGAAAGAAAACCAGUGUGACUGCCCAGGGGGAGAGGCAGAGAGUGGAUACAGAUAAUAUUGGCUUUAGAGUCUGGGGUGAGAUGCUUGGAUUUUGUUCCAAGUGUUAUGGGAAGCCACUGGGGAGCUUUGAGCUGGCAUGGAGUGAUUAUGUUUUCAAAAGUUUAUUCACUCUGGCUGCUGCGUGCAAAUGGUCUACAGAGUUGCACACAUGAGAAUAUAGGGUCUGCUAGGAGAUGGCAACCAUCAUUCACAAGAGAGUUUUUGGGAGCCUGGACUAGGAUGGCUGUGGUGGAAAUGAGGGAAGUGAAAAAUAGAUGCUAAUAAUUGGAAUAAAAGGAUGAAGGAAUGCUUUGAGAGGACAUGCAAGCAAGGAAGAUAGAUUGGAUUUCUUCCUGAAAUUAGGAGUCCAUUGAUCUUAACCAGACUGGAGUGUUUUUGAGAUGAGAAAGAUGACUGGCUAACCACAUUAGACUCUAUUCUCACUAGAUUUUUUAGACAGUGGUUCAAGUUGGGUUUCUUUCAUGGAAAGCCCAUUGUUUUGUUCCUAUAAAGGGGGUUAAUAGACUGUAACACCAGUUUAAUUAUACCUGUUUCCUUGACUGCUUUCUUUAGUUUAAUAUUUACUAAGUUUAGCAUUUAGCAUGUAUCUCAGUAUAGAUGGAGGUCAUUUAAAAAUUCCCUGAAU
rnacentral:lncRNA from 1 species